rnacentral:rRNA from 1 species
UACGUAGGGUCCGAGCGUUGUCCGGAGUUACUGGGCGUAAAGGGCGCGCAGGUGGCGGUGUUGGCCCGGCGUGAAAGCCCCCGGCUCAACCGGGGAGGGGCGUCGGGGACCGCACCGCUUGAGGGCGGUAGGGGCUGGUGGAAUGCCUGGUGUAGUGGUGAAAUGCGUAGAGAUCAGGCGGAACACCCGUAGCGAAGGCGGCCAGCUGGGCCGUCCCUGACACUGAGGCGCGAAGGCGUGGGGAGCGAACGGG